CGAGCGUUACUGGCCCAACAAAGAUUUUUAAAAGCAAGCAAUAUUCUCGGGAACUAUUGAGUAAAGUGUUCAAAUGUGAUGGCGCAUUUUAU
rnacentral:lncRNA from 1 species